rnacentral:rRNA from 1 species
UACGUAGGGCGCAAGCGUUAUCCGGAAUUAUUGGGCGUAAAGAGCUCGUAGGCGGUUUGUCGCGUCUGCCGUGAAAGUCCGGGGCUCAACUCCGGAUCUGCGGUGGGUACGGGCAGACUAGAGUGAUGUAGGGGAGACUGGAAUUCCUGGUGUAGCGGUGAAAUGCGUAGAGAUCGGCAGGAACACCCAGGGGGAAACCAGUCGACUGGGCAUCUACUGACGCUGAGGUGCGAGAGCGUGGGGAGCGAACCGG